rnacentral:rRNA from 1 species
GAUGAACGCUGGCGGCGUGCUUAACACAUGCAAGUCGAACGGAAAGGCUCCUGCUUGCCGGGGUACUCGAGUGGCGAACGGGUGAGUAACACGUGGGUGAUCUGCCCUGCACUUCGGGAUAAGCUUGGGAAACUGGGUCUAAUACCGGAUAGGACCGCAUUUUGGAUGGUGUGGUGGAAAGUUUUUUCGGUGUGGGAUGAGCUCGCGGCCUAUCAGCUUGUUGGUGGGGUAAUGGCCUACCAAGGCGUCGACGGGUAGCCGGCCUGAGAGGGUGUACGGCCACAAUGGGACUGAGAUAACGCCCAGACUCCUACGGGAGGGAGCAGUGGGGAAUAUUGCCAAAUGGGCGCAAGCCUGAUGCAGCGACGCCGCGUGGGGGAUGACGGCCUUCGGGUUGUAAACUCCUUUCGCUAGGGACGAAGAGUAAUUGACGGUACCUGGAGAAGAAGCACCGGCUAACUACGUG